rnacentral:rRNA from 1 species
GACGAACCGUGCGAACGUUGUUCGGAAUCACUGGGCUUAAAGGGCGCGUAGGCGGCUGUUCAAGUCCGGGGUGAAAUUUUUCGGCCUAACCGGAAAAGGGCCUCGGAUACUGGAUGGCUCGAGGGGGGCAGGGGCAGUUGGAACUUCCGGUGGAGCGGUGAAAUGCGUUGAUAUCGGAAGGAACGCCGGUGGCGAAAGCGAACUGCUGGACCCUUACUGACGCUGAGGCGCGAAAGCCAGGGGAGCAAACGGG